GACGAACGCUGGCGGCGUGCUUAACACAUGCAAGUCGAGCGGUAAGGCCCUUUCGGGGGUACACGAGCGGCGAACGGGCGAGUAACACGUGGGUGACCUGCCCUCAGCUCUGGGAUAAGCCUGGGAAACCGGGUCUAAUACCGGAUAUGACUCCAUGACGCAUGUUGUGGGGUGGAAAGCCUUGUGCGGCUGAGGAUGGGCCCGCGGCCUAUCAGCUUGUUGGUGGGGUGAUGGCCUACCAAGGCGACGACGGGUAGCCGGCCUGAGAGGGCGACCGGCCACACUGGGACUGAGACACGGCCCAGACUCCUACGGGAGGCAG
rnacentral:rRNA from 1 species